rnacentral:misc_RNA from 1 species
UGUCCACACAUAAGCAGUCACGGAUUGGUGUCCCGCGGACUCCUUGCCUCUCGCAAUCAACCACCGAAGAGGCCAUCCUUCUUAGUCCUGUGCUCAUUUGUAUCUUUAGGCCAUCCUUUUUAGUCAUGUGCAUUGCGUGUGCCAUCUMCCCAGCUCUGUAGGAAGUCAACGUACCCUAUGUGCCAGUUCGCCUCACCACCUCGAGCGGGAGGCACAACCACAAUGUGGUCGUCGCGCGCAUCUUAACGACMCAACCCUUGGGCCCCAUGCUAGCUGGGCUCCUGAAGUAUCACAAGCUCUUGCGAAUGUAGCAGGCUUCGGGGACUUCAACCCUCAGCCUGGACCUUGGUAGGUCAUUAAGCCACCCUCGUCGAGACAACGGUCUAUCCACCGACGGGCCC